GGUCUGGUGGUCUAGUGGUAUGAUUCUCGCUUAGGGUGCGAGAGGUCCCGGGUUCAAUCCCCGGCCAGGCCC
rnacentral:tRNA from 1 species